rnacentral:RNase_P_RNA from 1 species
ACAGUAGGUUGUUCUAUCGCUGGUUAAAUUUUAUUAAUCAGAGGAAAGUCCGGGCAACACAGAGCGCCAUACUUCCUAACGGGAAGAUCUUUGCGAAAGGAUAGCUAGUUUAACAGAAAAUAACCACUUUGCUACAAUUUAUUGUAAUGAAGAAAGGGUGAAAAGGUGAGGUAAGAGCUCACCGGUAUUUCGGGCAACCGAUAUAGCCGUAGACCUUAUGGGUUGAAAGAUCAAAUAUACCGACAAUUAAGGAUUGCUCGUCCAAUGUCGGGGGGUAGAUCGAUAGAACCCAAUAGUGAUGUUGGGUCUAGAGAAAUGAUAGAAAUCCACUUUUGUGGAAACAGAACCCGGCUUACAGACCUACUGUUUAU